rnacentral:rRNA from 1 species
GAUGAACGCUGGCGGCAAGCCUAAUACAUGCAAGUCGAGGGGCAGCGAGACACUUCGGUGUUGUCGGCGACCGGCGAACGGGUGCGUAAUGCGUAUGUAACUUGCCUUGUACUGGGGGAUAGCUCCUAGAAAUAGGGAUUAAUACCCCAUAUUAUCUUUUUCUCGCAUGAGAUAUAGAUGAAAGCUCCGGCGGUACAAGAUGGGCAUACGUCCUAUUAGCUAGUUGGUGAGAUAAUAGCUCACCAAGGCGAUGAUAGGUAGGGGGUCUGUGAGGAUGUCCCCCCACACUGGUACUGAGACACGGACCAGACUCCUACGGGAGGCAGCAGUAAGGAAUAUUGGUCAAUGGACGCAAGUCUGAACCAGCUAUGCCGCGUGCAGGAUGAAGGCCUUUUGGUUGUAAACUGCUUUUAUGUGAGAAAAAUAAAUCCCUGCGGGGACGAAUGAUGGUAUCACAUGAAUAAGCACCGGCUAACUCCG